AGAGUUUGAUCCUGGCUCAGAUUGAACGCUGGCGGCAUGCUUUACACAUGCAAGUCGAACGGCAGCACGGGGGCAACCCUGGUGGCGAGUGGCAAACGGGUGAGUAAUAUAUCGGAACAUAUCCGGAAGUGGGGGAUAACGUACCGAAAGGUACGCUAAUACCGCAUAUGCCCUGAGGGGGAAAGGGGGGGAUCGCAAGACCUCUCGCUUUCGGAGUGGCCGAUAUCGGAUUAGCUAGUUGGUGAGGUAAAGGCUCACCAAGGCGACGAUCCGUAGCUGGUCUGAGAGGACGACCAGCCACACUGGAACUGAGACACGGUCCAGACUCCUACGGGAGGCAGCAGUGGGGAAUUUUGGACAAUGGGCGAAAGCCUGAUCCAGCCAUGCCGCGUGAGUGAAGAAGGCCUUCGGG
rnacentral:rRNA from 1 species